rnacentral:rRNA from 1 species
GACAGAGGGUGCAAACGUUGUUCGGAAUUACUGGGCGUAAAGCGCGUGUAGGCGGCCCUGCAAGUCGGAUGUGAAAUCCCACGGCUCAACCGUGGAAGUGCAUUCGAAACUGCAGGGCUAGAGUCCUGGAGAGGAAGGUGGAAUGCUUGGUGUAGAGGUGAAAUUCGUAGAUAUCAAGCGGAACACCGGUGGCGAAGGCGGCCUUCUGGACAGUGACUGACGCUGAGACGCGAAAGCGUGUGGAGCGAACAGG